GGGAGGACAAGCAUAAGUGAGAUGAAUAAGGUGACUUUAGCCUUGUCUGUUGUCCCCUGUGUUGCCCUGCUGUUCAGGCGUGUGUUUGUAGAAGUGGCUCUUAAUCAGUGUGGAAGGGAGUAGAGGCCAUCCCGUUGCUCUGUAUCAUGUUUCCCUUUCCUUACCCCCAGCCCCUGUCCCUGCCUUACCCAGCAAGCUUCCCACAUUUGGAGCCCCGGAACAGUUAGUGGAUUUAAAACAAGCUGCCUUGGAGGGUAAGUUAUCAUGGGCAAGGAGCUUUGGGGUGUCCACUCUGAGUUUGUUCUGCAAAUCACUCUCUGUUUCCUCUCCCAGCUGCAGCCAAAGCCACCAGCUCACAUCCGAACUCAACAUCUCUCAAGGCCAAGGUGCUGGAGACCUUCCUGGCCAAGUCCAGACCCGAGCUCCUGGAGUAUCACAUUAAAGUCAUCCUGGACUACAACACCGCCCACAACAAAGUGGCUCUGUCAGAGUGCUAUACAGUAGCUUCUGUGGCUGAGAUGCCUCAGAACUACCGGCCGCAUCCCCAGAG
rnacentral:sRNA from 1 species